rnacentral:rRNA from 1 species
GACGAACGCUGGCGGCGUGCUUAACACAUGCAAGUCGAACGAAGUGGCGAACGGGUGAGUAACGCGUCAUCAACCUGCCCUUCAGAGGGGGACAAAAGUUGGAAACGAAUGCUAAUACCGCAUACUGAAGGAGGGGAUUGCGUCGGAUUCGCUAGUUGGAGGGGUAACGGCCCACCAAGGCGAUGAUCAGUCGCCUGUCUGGGAGGAUGAACGGCCACAUUUGGACUGGGACACGGCCCCGACUCCUACGGGAGGCAGCCGUGGGGAAUCUUCCGCAAUGGACGAAAGUCUGACGGAGCAACGCCGCGUGAGUGAUGACGGCCUUCGGGUUGGAAAGCUCUGUUAAUCGGGACGCGGUACCGGAAUAGAAAGCCACGGCUAACUACGUGCCAGCAGCCGCGGUAAUAC